GGAUCGUGCACUUUCACGUCUAUGUUCAAAAAUGUGAGUGACAGUUAAGGGGUUAAUAAAUAAGACAGUAUCAGUGUUUUUGCUUUUGUUUUAUCCCGAUUCUCUGUGCUGAGUCUACAAAUAAUCUAUAUUCUGAGCUGUCGGGUCAGAUUUUGCGGGAUAUACAAUGUUUACUUUAUGUUCGUAAACACAGAAAGGUUUGGCUACUAUAUCUUGUGCUGAGGAAUAAUUUUAUUGCUACAGUGAAUAGGCCUAAUGUUGUUGUAUAAGUUUUGACCUACAGUCAAUCUAGAAUUUACCAUGAGUAGUCUAAAAUAAAUAACAAACGUGGAAUCAUUCUGUUAGAUCAAAUGAAAAUGGACUGUAUUAAAUUUUUUUUACAUUUAAUUAGCUUGUGACUUUUGACUGGAAAUACUGUUUAACUUCAAAGUGUUUUAUUUCCAUUUACCUCAAAAAAGUUAAGCAUAACAAAUUCAGCAAUGAGCCUAUUACAAUUUCUAAAGAACGGCUUAUCAAUAUUCUAUAAUGACACAAAUAUCUUGUGAAGAAAAAUGCACAAAUGUGGUUAACAUGUUAAAAGUCAUGUAAAAACUGCAAAUUCAAGCAAAACCACAGUCAGAAAACACCAGACGCUGCAAAACUGAGACACGGAUGAAGAGCUUCAAACAGAUAAAACAUCUAAACAGACACUGAAAAUAAAGAGAAAUCAACCAAAUCAAGAAUAAAGUAAAAGAGCAAGAGCAGAAAUGUGAAAAUAAACACACAGAAUGAGUUCACGAUCUGACAGAUCUGAUUCAGAGAAAUAAAAGAGUUUGAUCACAGAUGAACAGAAGGAGUUUCAUAUAAUGACAUAAAAAUACUGCUAGUUCAUUCAAAGAGGAAAGACAAAUGAAUAAAAUAAGCAAUAAAACUAUUACAAAACACAGCUGUCCAGAAAAUAAUCUUCAUAACUAAAACUGUAGAAAAUCUGGUUAAUUCAUAUCUCCUGGUUUAAUGAAUCUCUUGGUUUUAUAUAAGAUCUGUUGUUGACAGGUGAAAGCUGGACUGAUUCUGAACUCAUUUCUCACAGAUGUGAAGAUCUGCUGCUGCUCUCAUGAAUCUUCUGCUGUGUGUUCAUGUCUCUCUCUAAAUCUUCUCAUUCUCACUUUCUGGUCCUUCUGUUUCUUUCCUAAAAGCAUCGUCAUCACCAUCAUCUUCACACUUUUAAUAAUUGCAUGUCAAAUAUAUA
ensembl:lncRNA